UCCAGUCAGAUUGCUCAUUAAACUCACAA
rnacentral:piRNA from 1 species